AUAAAAGCAUAAUAGGUACAGGCGAACAACUUCAAAUAACAUUAAAAUGAACCUUCUGUCAUGAAUGGUGACAAAAUUUCUCUCUCUCUCUCUCUUUCAAGCUCCCUGUCUGCUUGUAUUUUUGAAACUUUUGCAGUUUGUGGCGUUUGUGGAGCUUCUAGACGUCACACUGUGUUUUAAUUAAACUCAGAGACGAAAUCGGCGGUUUAUCUGCGCGAGCUCGCUAGCUCACCGGUUAGCUGCUCAGCUAACAGCUGAGAGCUGAAAACCGAAACCCGGCGUUCGGAGUGUACAACAGAAACCCGGAGACAGGAGACCAGAGCCUCGGCGUCGGACACGAGGAUGCCAUCAUGUUUCUACAACAGCAAACCAGCCAGAGGAUGCAUUAAAGUUCCGCGCAAGAGAAAAGAGUCAACAAAAGGAGGCUGAAGACAGAAAACUUGGACCAGAACGAAUGAGCUUGGACCAGACCAGAGGGAUAUCAAUCAUCUGCAGCUUAAAUGGGAUCCACGCUGCAGAGAGCACGAGACAGCAGUGCACAGGUCUUUUCUAUGGUCGUUCACCCCUCUGCCAACAUCUGGGACCAUAAACCAAGAUCAGAAUGUGACAGUGAAAACAAUACGGCUGUGACAACAAACAGUCACUGGGUAAUAAAAAAAAGGAGGUGGAGUGGUCUUAAAGCAUAGGUUGUUGAGUGAACAGUGAGUUAUGUAGUGUCUGUUUCUUUGUAUGUCUUGGUUUGUUUUGACGUGUUAUUAAAUGAAAGGUGUAGAAUGUGAACAGCAAAAUAAUGCCGGUAGAAAAACACCAACAUUUACUGCUGCUGCUGCUGCUGCUGCUUUAACUGUCCUGGGUCCAUGGGUCGAAAGCCUGCACUGCGUGGCUAAUCAUAAAUACGCUGUGUAGUGUUGGUAUAGCCCAAUAAAGCACGCGCUGGAACAAAAUUAUUAUAUCCACAUCACAAAUCCUUUAAAGUGAGCAAAAUAUUUGACGGUGUGCAGAGGCUUGUCGUUCCCCCGGCACACAUCAAAGCCAUCUGAACCAAAAUAUCACAUAAAUGCGUACAGUGUGCAUUGUUCCCUGUGAAAUGGCAUACAGAGCCAUUGUUCUAUUUCAGUUUGCUUCAAUCUCCUCCGUUGCAUCCUGAGUCAUCGCUUCGCUGUUUUGAUUUCUGGCAAACAGUAUGAGCGCCAGGGACGCCGCUUCCUCCCGCAAGACAGAUGGGAACAAACCCAGUAUGAUCACUUCAAAUAAACAGGACGCCAUUAAUUGUGUGCCCCGACAAUUGAUGUGCGUCCCCUUGGUAUUCAAUGAGAACUUGAUUCAUCGUUUUAGUGGUAUGAGUCGUUGCCAAUGAGGAAGAGAUGAGUUGUCUGGCAAGGAAUAAAUCACUGGUUGAAGCCCAAAUUACUCUGCAGAGACCCGGCUAAUUCAUAACUAUGCACAGUUAAUCCAUUUAAAUUAUAGCGCUGUGAGAACUGCAUGUCCAAC